GACAUAGGUCGCAAACGUUAUCCGGAAUUAUUGGGCGUAAAGGAUGCGUAGAUGGUUCAGUAAGUUACUGGUGGGAAAUCGAGGCCCAACCUCGUGGAAGUUAGUAAUACUGUUGAACUUGAGUGCAGGAGAGGUUAACGGAACUUCAUUUGGAGCGGUAAAAUGCGUAGAUAUAUGAAAGAACAUCAAUAUGGCGAAGGCAGUUAACUAUUCUGCUACUGACAUUGAGGCAUGAAAGCGUGGGGAGCAAAACGG
rnacentral:rRNA from 1 species